CCUACGGGUGGCAGCAGUAGGGAAUCUUCCACAAUGGGCGAAAGCCUGAUGGAGCAACGCCGCGUGGGUGAAGAAGGUCUUCGGAUCGUAAAACCCUGUUGUUAGAGAAGAAAGUGCGUGAGAGUAACUGUUCACGUUUCGACGGUAUCUAACCAGAAAGCCACGGCUAACUACGUGCAAGCAGCCGCGGUAAUACGUAGGUGGCAAGCGUUAUCCGGAUUUAUUGGGCGUAAAGGGAACGCAGGCGGUCUUUUAAGUCUGAUGUGAAAGCCUUCGGCUUAACCGGAGUAGUGCAUUGGAAACUGGGGGACUAGAGUGCAGAAGAGGAGAGUGGAACUCGAUGUGUAGCGGUGAAAUGCUUAGAUAUAUGGAAGAACACCAGUGGCGAAAGCGGCUCUCUGGUCUGUAACUGACGCUGAGGUUCGAAAGCGUGGGUAGCGAACAGGAUUAGAUACCCCAGUAGUC
rnacentral:rRNA from 1 species